GAUGAAUGCUGGCGGCGUGCUUAACACAUGCAAGUCGAACGAGACCUUCAGGUCUAGUGGCGCACGGGUGCGUAACGCGUGGGAAUCUGCCCUUUGCUACGGAAUAACUCAGAGAAAUUUGUGCUAAUACCGUAUGAUGUCGCAAGACCAAAGAUUUAUCGGCAAAGGAUGAGCCCGCGUAGGAUUAGCUUGUUGGUGAGGUAAAGGCUCACCAAGGCGACGAUCCUUAGCUGGUCUGAGAGGAUGAUCAGCCACACUGGGACUGAGACACGGCCCAGACUCCUACGGGAGGCAGCAGUGGGGAAUAUUGGACAAUGGGCGAAAGCCUGAUCCAGCAAUGCCGCGUGAGUGAUGAAGGCCUUAGGGUUGUAAAGCUCUUUUACCAGGGAUGAUAAUGACAGUACCUGGAGAAUAAGCUCCGGCUAACUACGUGCCAGCAGCCGCGGUAACAC
rnacentral:rRNA from 1 species